rnacentral:rRNA from 1 species
UACGUAGGGCGCAAGCGUUGUCCGGAAUUAUUGGGCGUAAAGAGCUCGUAGGCGGUUUGUCGCGUCUGCUGUGAAAACUCGAGGCUCAACCUCGGGCGUGCAGUGGGUACGGGCAGACUAGAGUGCGGUAGGGGUGACUGGAAUUCCUGGUGUAGCGGUGGAAUGCGCAGAUAUCAGGAGGAACACCGAUGGCGAAGGCAGGUCACUGGGCAGCAACUGACGCUGAGGAGCGAAAGCAUGGGGAGCGAACAGG